AGAGACAGCAGCAGCCGCGGUAAUACGUAGGGUGCAAGCGUUAAUCGGAAUUACUGGGCGUAAAGCGUGCGCAGGCGGUUUGUUAAGACAGAUGUGAAAUCCCCAGGCUCAACCUGGGAACUGCAUUUGUGACUGGCAAGCUAGAGUGUGGCAGAGGGGGGUGGAAUUCCGCGUGUAGCAGUGAAAUGCGUAGAUAUGCGGAGGAACACCGAUGGCGAAGGCAGCCCCCUGGGCCAACACUGACGCUCAUGCACGAAAGCGUGGGGAGCAAACAGGAUUAGAUACCCCCGUAGUCCCUGUCUCUUAUAC
rnacentral:rRNA from 1 species